rnacentral:rRNA from 1 species
UACGAAGGGGGCUAGCGUUGCUCGGAAUCACUGGGCGGAAAGGGUGCGUAGGCGGGUUUUUAAGUCAGGGGUGAAAUCCUGGAGCUCAACUCCAGAACUGCCUUUGAUACUGAAGAUCUUGAGUUCGGGAGAGGUGAGUGGAACUGCGAGUGUAGAGGUGAAAUUCGUAGAUAUUCGCAAGAACACCAGUGGCGAAGGCGGCUCACUGGCCCGAUACUGACGCUGAGGCACGAAAGCGUGGGGAGCAAACAGG